GUGGGGAAUAUUGGACAAUGGGCGAAAGCCUGAUCCAGCCAUGCCGCGUGUGUGAAGAAGGUCUUCGGAUUGUAAAGCACUUUAAGUUGGGAGGAAGGGCAUUAACCUAAUACGUUAGUGUUUUGACGUUACCGACAGAAUAAGCACCGGCUGACUUCGUGCCAGCAGCCGCGGUAAUACGAAGGGUGCAAGCGUUAAUCGGAAUUACUGGGCGUAAAGCGCGCGUAGGUGGUUUUGUAAGUUGGAGGUGAAAUCCCCGGGCUCAACCUGGGAACUGCCUCCAAAACUGCAUGACUAGAGUACGGUAGAGGGUAGUGGAAUUUCCUGUGUAGCGGUGAAAUGCGUAGAUAUAGGAAGGAACACCAGUGGCGAAGGCGACUACCUGGACUGAUACUGACACUGAGGUGCGAAAGCGUGGGGAGCAAACAGGAUUAGAUACCCGAGUAGUCC
rnacentral:rRNA from 1 species